UACUGUGAUUUAGGCAAGCAAAUUCGGGUCUUUAACAAUCAACUGCGGUAUACAAGGUGAUUACUACCGUGCUACUUGAUACAGGUUAGACUGUAUGUACAUAUCUAUAGAUUGUAUCUACAUAUAUAUAGAUUACAAGAACAUAUACAUGCUCAUGCUAAGUUUUAGAGGUAUGAAAUAAAUAAUUCUUGCAAGAUUAAAAUUUCUUAUUCGAAGGAUAAUUAGUGUGCACUAGACUACAGUCACAGUGUAUGAAUUCAUUGUUUGCUCCUAAAAGAUUAUAAAUACAUAUGCAUUGUGUGGAACUAUAGUUAUCGUGAUUAUGUAAAUCUAAUCUAGAAACAAUUCAUAGGGUACAGUUUAAAAUGUGAGUAUAAUUGAUUUCUUAUAGAAAUGUGCAAACUGAAAAAAGAGUUGUUUUACUUACCGAUGAUCUGUGUUCAUAAAUCCAUGCUGCUCCUGAAACACAAACAGUUCCAGUAUUCGCCGCAACAAGGAAAACUGAAGAAAGGAUUUAGUUGAAGUGCAGUAGAAAAAAGUCUUGGCGUUCCUUAUGCCAAAGAAGAUGUCUUUUCACAGUUCUACGAGGGAACAUCAUCUUGUGAAAGUUGCACUUGGGAAAUAACCCACAGGAAAUAGUUUUAAGUUCAAGUCCAAGCAUGUUCUAUCAAACUGGUGUACCAUGACAAUGAAUAAUGAAUGAGGUUGGAAUGGUUUGGUGUUAAUUUUAAUGAUGGAUUUUAAUUUGGUAGCUAUAUAGUGCUCGAAUGAAUUCCCCUUUUCAUGAGAAGAAUUCUUGAACUGCACGUGAAAGUCUAUGGGGUUGUAAAUUCGACAGGCUGACUUUGCUAUGGAUGCCUAAGAAUUUUGGUAAUAUUUAUUUUUGGCGGUCGAUGACCCCAUACGAAGGCGAAAGCGGUUUUGAUGGGGCAUUUCAAUAAUGAUUGAGCACUUAUCUUCUUCAAAGUAAACAUGUAGGUCACGAUAAAAAUAUGAACAGAAGGUGACAGCCAAUAUACUCUUACUACUCAUUGGGUGCGAUUAAGGACUGUUUGGCCGUUCAUAAAGGUAGGCAGAGAUUUAUUGAGGAUAAAAGCCCUUAACUGUGAUGUUGAUCUUUGCGGAAAUGACAAUCAUAUGCUAAUAGGGUUAGGGAAUUUGUACAAAUAACAGAUAAUUAUGUCAUCUUUGCUUUUCGUAAAUUCAACAAAUUGAGGAGCAGAUGGAGAGAAACGGAAGUGUGGCUUGAAAACUAAACAAUUAGCGAAAUGAAUCGAGAGGUAGGUUUACAAGACGUAAUAAAGUUUCCUUUUUUCAUUUUGUA